GAGUUUGGAGGGUGCCGGUCAACGAAGCCACGCGAGGUAUUUGAAAGGCAAUCAGCCCGACCGUCCCCCUAGAUUCAUCGGAGAAGGAACUUGGUGAAUAUUGCCCUGGGUCCUGGUAAUUCCACCUACUGAAGACAACUGCCCCUUCUGCUCAUAUUUCCUGAGUUAACAUGGCCGUUCCUAACUUUGAAGAGACUUUAGACAUUCUUUGUUACAAUGAGCCUAGAAGAAAGAAGAGAAAUAAUAACUGCCAUGGAAGGAUGCUCCUCCUGCCAAUUGGCACUUAUCAAUGACAUCGAGGGAGAGGGACAGAGUGCCUAGGUAUGAGCCUUCAUCAAGUGGUAUGAAGGCCCUACUCCAACAGAAAGUGCUGAUGUGAAGAAAUGGUGCUUUGGACAAGACUUUUCCUCCAAGUUGGUCCUAUCCAGGGGUUGGCAAACAGGGUCCCUGGACAUCAUCCCUGUUGUGUACUCUUAUGAAUAAAGUUCUAUAGGACACA
rnacentral:lncRNA from 1 species